UUGAGAAGGUAAUUAUCCCCUUAAUGGCUGUGGUGUUGGGUGGUUUGCGCUGUGGUAUUUGGUUGUGGUGUUAAUUGUUGGUAAUGUUUGGUAAUAUUUGAAGUAAAGGUAGUAUUUAUGAUCGUAGAUUUGAUUUGAAGGUGGUAGUGAUGGUGCAUUGGAGGUGAUUAGUGGUGGUGGAUUGUGGUGCUGAUUUGCAAUGUGUACAGAUUUGUUUGUGGUGACCUUUUGUGAUCAAUUAUGUGUUUAUUGUGACUAGUAGAGAUCAAUUUUGUAUUAAUUAUAACCGAUUAUGACUUGAUCAUAAACUGUAACAAAUAAGAUUGACCUAGUAAUAGAUAGUCAUACUGAAAACAAAUUUGAUCACAGUUAGUUACACUGAAAACAAAUUUAACAAAUUUA
rnacentral:lncRNA from 1 species